GCAGUCGAGCGGCAGCACAAGGGAGUUUACUUCUGAGGUGGCGAGCGGCGGACGGGUGAGUAAUGCCUAGGGAUCUGCCCAGUCGAGGGGGAUAACAGUUGGAAACGACUGCUAAUACCGCAUACGCCCUACGGGGGAAAGAGGGGGACCUUCGGGCCUCUCGCGAUUGGAUGAACCUAGGUGGGAUUAGCUAGUUGGUGAGGUAAUGGCUCACCAAGGCGACGAUCCCUAGCUGUUCUGAGAGGAUGAUCAGCCACACUGGGACUGAGACACGGCCCAGACUCCUACGGGAGGCAGCAGUGGGGAAUAUUGCACAAUGGGGGAAACCCUGAUGCAGCCAUGCCGCGUGUGUGAAGAAGGCCUUCGGGUUGUAAAGCACUUUCAGUAGGGAGGAAAGGUAGCAGUUUAAUAAACUGUUGCUGUGACGUUACCUACAGAAGAAGGACCGGCUAACUCCGUGCCAGCAGCCGCGGUAAUACGGAGGGUCCGAGCGUUAAUCGGAAUUACUGGGCGUAAAGCGUGCGCAGGCGGUUUGUUAAGCGAGAUGUGAAAGCCCUGGGCUCAACCUAGGAAUAGCAUUUCGAACUGGCGAACUAGAGUCUUGUAGAGGGGGGUAGAAUUCCAGUGUAGCGGUGAAAUGCGUAGAGAUCUGGAGGAAUACCGGUGGCGGAAGCGGCCCCCUGGACAAAGACUGACGCUCAUGCACGAAAGCGUGGGGAGCAAACAGAUUAGAUACCCUGGUAGUCCACGCCGUAACGAUGUCUACUCGGAGUUUGGUGUCUUGAACACUGGGCUCUCAGCUAACGC
rnacentral:rRNA from 1 species